AUUGAACGCUGGCGGCAGGCCUAACACAUGCAAGUCGAGCGGCAGCGGGAAAGUAGCUUGCUACUUUUGCCGGCGAGCGGCGGACGGGUGAGUAAUGCCUGGGAAAUUGCCCAGUCGAGGGGGAUAACAGUUGGAAACGACUGCUAAUACCGCAUACGCCCUACGGGGGAAAGCAGGGGACCUUCGGGCCUUGCGCGAUUGGAUAUGCCCAGGUGGGAUUAGCUAGUUGGUGAGGUAAUGGCUCACCAAGGCGACGAUCCCUAGCUGGUCUGAGAGGAUGAUCAGCCACACUGGAACUGAGACACGGUCCAGACUCCUACGGGAGGCAGCAGUGGGGAAUAUUGCACAAUGGGGGAAACCCUGAGGCAGCCAUGCCGCGUGUGUGAAGAAGGCCUUCGGGUAGUAAAGCACUUUCAGCGAGGAGGAAAGGUUGAUGCCUAAUACGUAUCAACUGUGACGUUACUCGCAGAAGAAGCACCGGCUAACUCCGUGCCAGCAGCCGCAGUAA
rnacentral:rRNA from 1 species